GUGUUUGUGUGUAUUUUUACAUACAUAUACUGGGGUUGGACAAAAUAAUGGAGACACCUUAAAAUUUCAAACAAAUUAAUUUUAAUAUGGGUUAGGACCGCCUUUGGUAGUAAUUGCAGCAUGAAUUCUACGAGGUACAGACUCGUGCAAAGUUUGA